CUCCGCGGGAAAUAAUGGGGCUGAUAAUAAAACAGGGGGGAAAACCCGUCCGAGGGAAGCUGAAUGGAUGGAGCCAGAGAGACGUCACGACCAGCCGCAGCCAUGAAGACUGAGCGGUCCAGCCUCCAGGAUGCUCAGUCGCUCUCCAUCUCCAGAGCUGCGAGCUUCUCUCCUCUUCUCUUCUCUUUUUGGAGAGCGGACCUCUGCAGCAGCAGCGACUCGCAGACGACGAUGCAAGGCGGAUCCCUGGAGAGACAUUCAGCGGCCUCACAACACGUGGCUUACUGUCAGAACUCGGGCCAUGUCACUUCGCCUGCAGCUUGAGAGGAUGGGUAGCCUUAGGGGUUGGUUGUUAUCUUUGGUUAUCUAGCUGUAUGAGUGAUGUACAUUCUUCAUAAAGCUAGAUAACCGAAAGUAACAAGAAUCCCAUUACACUCCUGAAAAGGCAUCAAGACCCCAAACGCGCCUCCCUCCAAAAAAAGCACAAACUCUGCCACAAGAACUGCAACACGAGAGAAGAAGAUGGACGUCAUGUAAAAGGGGAUGGGCGCUGAAUGCAGCAAAAGGCGACCACCACCACCACACCACUGAAGGAAAGCUGGCAAAAGGAGACUGAAAAACAGAGAAGAAGGAGGAGGAGGGGUUGCUGUUGAUUCUGCCCUCCCUCUCUCCUCGCCCUCCUCUGCAUCGCCUCUUCCCUCCUCCUCCUCCCUUCCUCCUCCGCUCCAUCCUCAGCAGACUGCCCCUUUUUCCUGUACAGCGAGACGCAGCCCGCGCCACCAUCUUAGAGCAACGCUGGCAUGAAAUGGAAGUGGGAAGACCAGUCAGUGCAGGUGAAUGUUGUCGGUGCAGAGGGGGGAUCCCGAACGGCUAGAGCAGCACACAAUGGAGGGAUAGCAGGACUCCUCCUUUCAGCCACUGACUAGACAAGGACGACGGCCGAUGAUGUCUGCACGUGACUCCUGCCGUGACUUUGGAACAUCGCCGCGCUGUUUGUGCCUCUUCGAUUGCUGCUGUGUGAUGCAUUAUUUGACCCGAGCGGGACUGGUCGUGAACGCUUGUUUUAGCUGAGCAAACAUCACGGUGGAUUGUGACUGUGGGGGGAAACAACGCUCAGACAGACGGCGUGGACGAACUGCUUCAUAAUUGUUGUGAUUCGUGAGGGGUGUGGCGUUCAUUUUUGUAAUUAUCAUUGUUAUAUAUAAACAAUAGACAUGAAGCAAUAUAAUGUGUGUUCAACUAACAUAGGCUUGACUGAUUGUAUAGGUCUCAUUUGAUGAGCUGUAGCCCACGUUUUGUUCGAUUUCUGUUUUGUUAAUAGUUGCUAGGACUCAAAGACACGUGAAUGUGAGACCCACGGCAGCAGUGAAUAAUACUGCACUGCGAUUGGACAGCUCCAUGUGUCAGCUGACACAAUGGCGAAGGAGUGAGCUGUCGUCUUUAUACUCUAUGCAACUGUUUUAUCUUUUUUUUUUUUUGGUUCGUCUUGGAGCCCCUUUCAUCCUUACUCUGGAUUUUUUAUUUUGGGCUGCCGACAUUCUUUCAGACAUCAUGAGGAGAAAUGGUUUUUGAGGAGCCUACAUUCCCGUUGUUAAUAUACUGAUACAGAAAUUACAGUCAGAGUGUGUGUGUGUGACAAAUGACACAGCUCAGUUUCAUGAUGUAUUGAAUCUCAUAUUUGCAGCCUUAACAGACUUUGAUUUGACUGUGCAGCCACGGAGCCACAGUGUUGAGUAAACGUGGACUCACACGUUUAAUAUUCCUGACGGCAGAUGUGUGUUUGAUCAGCAGGAAGUAGCUGAGCAGGGCUCAUGGCUGCGUGUAUACAGAACACGCCACACUAUUAAAACCGUCCCCGGCGCUCUCUGAGACGCAGCAGUUUGGUUCAUAGCAGUUACCUGCUUCACGGUAAUGAUACAUCGUUGGGUGAGACAUGACAAAUACAUUGGCUUCAAACACUGCCUUAAUUUCCUGUCCUUGACAUUAACACACACACGCACACACACUCAUGCCCAAAUGCAAUAAAGCGAGUACUAUCGCAGCCUAAUUCAUUCUAUAUUAAUUUUCGGGAAGUGGCAAAUUUUUUAUUACGAUUGAUAAUCUAUGCAAAUCUUUUAAAUAUUACUUUAAACAAUCUAUGUCUAUGCAGUGCUUUUGCAAUUGAUUCAAGGGAGACUAUCUUGGCCUAAUUUAGAAAAUGUAUUCUUUUGAUAAUCAUGCACAUCCCAGUGCUCAAGACAAUUACUUAUCUGCCUGGAUAAGCUUGAAAUUAUGUUCUUAAUCUUUUGCACAAAAAAAAGUCACUCUUCAGAUAUCAGACCAGAGGCAUGAAAACCAUGAAUUGUGGUCUAAAAUAAUGAAAUCGGUUGCACUAAAAUCUCUUUUUUUUUUUCCUUAAAUGCAGAUCAAACAUAUCUAUUCAGCUACGCUUUCAUGUAGCUUAUUGUUUUACAUCAGCAGCAAUGUUUGUGUUGUGCAAUCUAAUCGCUGUGAAUGAGUGUUCACCACAUGUGCCUUUGUAUGGAAAACUGUUGGAAUAGUAAUAAAGGUUUACAUUGAAAACAAUGGGAAAAA